GCUGGGCAUGGUGACGUGCACCUGUAAUCCCAGCUACUUGGGAGGCUGAGGCAGGAGAAUUGCUUGAACCCGGGAGGCGGAGGUUGCAGUGAGCCGAGAUCAUGCCACUGCACUCCGGCCUGGGUGACAGAGCAAGACUCUGUCUCAA
rnacentral:SRP_RNA from 1 species